rnacentral:rRNA from 1 species
UAUGAAGUUAGCGGCGGACGGGUGAGUAACACGUGGGUAACCUGCCCAUAAGACUGGGAUAACUCCGGGAAACCGGGGCUAAUACCGGAUAACAUUUUGAACCGCAUGGUUCGAAAUUGAAAGGCGGCUUCGGCUGUCACUUAUGGAUGGACCCGCGUCGCAUUAGCUAGUUGGUGAGGUAACGGCUCACCAAGGCAACGAUGCGUAGCCGACCUGAGAGGGUGAUCGGCCACACUGGGACUGAGACACGGCCCAGACUCCUACGGGAGGCAGCAGUAGGGAAUCUUCCGCAAUGGACGAAAGUCUGACGGAGCAACGCCGCGUGAGUGAUGAAGGCUUUCGGGUCGUAAAACUCUGUUGUUAGGGAAGAACAAGUGCUAGUUGAAUAAGCUGGCACCUUGACGGUACCUAACCAGAAAGCCACGGCUAACUACGUGCCAGCAGCCGCGGUAAUACGUAGGUGGCAAGCGUUAUCCGGAAUUAUUGGGCGUAAAGCGCGCGCAGGUGGUUUCUUAAGUCUGAUGUGAAAGCCCACGGCUCAACCGUGGAGGGUCAUUGGAAACUGGGAGACUUGAGUGCAGAAGAGGAAAGUGGAAUUCCAUGUGUAGCGGUGAAAUGCGUAGAGAUAUGGAGGAACACCAGUGGCGAAGGCGACUUUCUGGUCUGUAACUGACACUGAGGCGCGAAAGCGUGGG